UACACAGAUGCUUGUUCUGCCCCUAAGAGAUGAUGAAGAUGGAAGUUCGUGGCUUGCUCCUUGCUUCUCAGAUAUGGACAGGUGACAACCUACAAGCCACAUGAGCGAUCCUGGUGUCCUGCAGCCACCUCGCCACUCUCUACCAAUAGUCCAAGUGUGGGGGACACAGGAGUGUCUUGGUGAUGGGAUGACAGCCUUGCUGCAUGUCAGGCUCCUGAAGCCGGUGAAGGAGAAACAGCAGUCUGAGGUGAAACAACAUUCAACAAAACCUCAUCAAAUGCUUUCAGAGGUCUCUGAAAAAAUUACUGUUGUGCUUAAAAAUUGAAUAUUAUCUACUAAACUUUAUUUUCAUUUGGAACCUGACUGUCCCAUCCUCCCCGUUUUCAUCUAAGAAUGAAAAUGACACGUUACAUUAAAGGUACUGCUACCUCUCUAUAAGUA
rnacentral:lncRNA from 1 species